GACGAACGCUGGCGGCGUGCCUAAUACAUGCAAGUCGAACGCAGUGGGGACGGGUGAGUAACACGUGGGUAACCUCCCAUCAGAGGGGAUAACACUUGGAAACAGGUGCUAAACCGAUACUGAUGGAUGGACCCUCGGUGCAUUAGCUAGUUGGUUAGGUAACUGCUCACCAAGGCCACGCGGCAUAGGCUGCCUGAGAGGGUGAUCGGCCAGUAUGGGACGGAGCAACGGCCCAGACUUCUCCGGGACGCAGCAGUAGGGAAUCUUCGGCAAUGGACGAAAGUCUGACCGAGAAACGCCGCGUGAGUGAAGAAGGUUUUCGGAUCGUAAAACUCUGUUGUUAGAGAAGCGGUAUCUAACCAGAAAGCCACGGCUAACUACGUGCCAGCAGCCGCGGUAAUAC
rnacentral:rRNA from 1 species